AGAACUCUAAAUGUCCACUUGAAUGAAGGAAGCUACCAUAAUUACACAGUCGUGUAGUAAUGAGAUUUUGGUACCUGAAAUAUUUAGAAGACGAACAGAUGAAGAAAGAUGUCACAGGAAAGCAAAUUUAAUGAGGAAGUCUCAAUCAAAAAUGCCCCAAAUCUAACAAACCACGUGAUGGUUAACAUCAGAUGUGACAGAACCCUAUUUAUCUUUGAGUAUGGAAAGAUAAGAGGCGGCAGUUGCCAGAUCACACAGAAGAUUUGGAAAUAAAUCACUUUUGUCAUUUAAUAAAAUCUGUUCAUUAGCCU
rnacentral:lncRNA from 1 species